AAAAAAAAAAUCAAAAAAUGGUUUCAUAUGAAAGCGUGCGCAAACAUAAGAAUAGAUGGGAGUUUUCGGACUUGCAAAUGUUUCUUAAAGCCAGUUAGCUGUUUUUCUUAAUUUUCUGUACUCGUCUUUGGCUGAGAACAGCACAAUCCAACGACACGCGCUUGAAUUAAGGUGUCUUUCGAGAGAGGCAAUGGAUCAUUGUCUAAGUAACAGAAGGUUAUGCAAAAGUGACAAGACAACGAAAAAAUACUUCAUAUGGGAAUAAUUUGUGAAAUGUUCGGCUCUGGGUCGCACACAGUAUUAUCUUGCGCAUUAUAAGUCACGACUUGGACCUACGGAGAGAUGAUUAUGACACUCAUUUUAUCAUCUCUCAGGUGUGUGAGUGACCAUUACUAAAAAUACAGAGUCGCUUACAUACAUUUAAUACAACAUAUCUCGCGAAUGAUGAUUAUCAAGAUUCGUGCAAAUUCACAGAUAAGACUGUGAUGAAACCAGGGAUAAAAAUAGUAACAGGAAAGAGAGAGUUGGAUGUUUGACGAAAACCAGAGUGGUGCAGAUAGGAUGAGAAACGCCGCUGACGGAGUAUGUGCUGCCGCUCGUGCGGUGGACAGUUUCAGUUUCUCAUGUUUUGCAUAGCAACAACCCUCAGAGCCCCUCCCCCUGGCCACGUCCUGUAAGGGAUCCUCUGCUUUUACGGCACCCAGGAGAAAAACGAACACGAUCCUACAACCUCUGAAAAUGUGAGAAAUUUGCCGGCGCGCCUGUGAAAGCGAUUAAACCGCUUAGUUUAAACGCGUGCCACCUCAAAUUUUCUGUGUAUUCGCCACGUUGUCCGAACUAUCCGUUCUUUGAUGUGGAGGGGCCGAAACCCUGAAGUGGUUAAUGUUUUCGCCUCAGAAAGCAGUGAAGUCUGCACAGCAACAAGCGCCAUGAUUGCGUGGGACCGCGCGUCCCUGACGCUCGCGAGUGCGACUUUUAGUCCAAUUGCGUGUUUUCUCCACGCCCGCAUAAUCUGUCAUAAUCAUUUCCAAUUCACUGCGAGCGAAUUGUCAACGGCGAACAAGUCCGCGCGGAGAGUUUCAGCAGCCCGCGCGCACUUCGGCGGAACGCGCGAGAUGGGAAGUAAAAGUGCGGCAAGCUGCUGGUCGGCGCGCGGGGUGUCACACCAUCCGAACAGACAACAGAGAGAGACACACACUGUGGUCCUCAACGCGCUCGACAGUCCGGUCCGGUCCGGCACGGCACUCUGAGGGGCUGUUGUUGGCCACGGAGAAGCACCGUGACGUGGGUACUUAUCUCCUCAGUCCGCUUCGCCAACUUCUGUCUGUCGGCUCGUUUCACUAGUAACUCGGCGCGAGAAGAACACGGGGCUCCUCGGAGGCUCUCACCUGUCUCGCGCUCGGGAGGGGAGCACCCGUGUGGAUGGAGCGUCCGCCGCGGGAGCCAGCGCCGGGUGCGCGCAGCUAUGGACAAGCGCGGCAGAAGGAGCGAAGGACGGACCCCUGAUGUAGUUUUUUUAAUGUAAUCAUAAGUUGUGUGUCGCGGAUCUACAGCUCACAAUCAGUGUGCGUGUGUUGGUCCACGGCAGAAGAUCACGCGUGGGUCCCACGCUACGUUCCCUGAAGGUGCUUGGCGAGACGUGCCCGCGCACACCGACGAGAGGAGGAGAGGAGAGGAAGAGGAGGAAGGAGGGCGCCGGGAAGAGCGGCAGCGCGGAGAAGAGUAAAGACGAGACACGAUGAAGUCGACGGCGAUGCAGGCGAGAGAGCGCAGUGCUGGAGGAGCGGACGCGAGCCGCUGGGGACGCGCUUCUCCACGGAGGGAGGGAGAGAGGGAGGGAGGGAGGUGUUAAGGAUGCCUCGAAAUAACGGUUCGAAAAGAAAUCCGCGAGGGGUUCCCCCUUAAAAACGCACGAGUCACGAACCAGGAGGAGGGCAAACGGGAGAAAUGGACACUGAGCGGUCCGCGCCGUGUCCACUCGAUUCCGUGUCCCGGAGUCUCCAACACUUUUCGUCUUCCACACACAGCCCUGCUGUCAUUGGUCCCGACUUGCCUGCCAUCGGGUACAGUGCAGUGGAGAAGUGACCACUCUCUGUGUGUGUGUGUGUGUGUGUGUGUGUGUGUGUGUGUGUGUGUGUGUGAGAGAGAGAGAGAGAGAGAGAGAUAUCCUGCUGUCCGCAGCCCCGGUACCACCACUGUAGCCUGAAUUCAGUUACUCUUGUUAUACUGUACGGUGCCGAUCACUAGGGGGGCGGGUGUUUCGAACCUGCCUCGGUCUAAGCGGGCUGUUUUAAAUUAUUGCACGUCAGCAAAUUUGUGUUUGAAAGAAAUAAUUUUAUCCCAACGGACAAUCUCAACACGCCCCCCCCCCCCGCCCCUCACGGUACAUGUUAACUAUCUCAACACUGCUACUUUUAUGCUACUUUGUUUAGAGAUUCUAUUUGCCAUAUCUGUAAAACGAGUUGUUAAGUUAUAGAAAACGAGAAUUCAAUUAAAAUUCAUAAUUAAAAUGUUAUGUGACUGUAAAAUUGCACCACGUCAUGUUGAUAACGCAUUUUUCCCAAACAUUGGGACUGACACUGCGGGACGUACUUGGAAACUUAUCAAAACAGCCAUUAAAUGACGACACUUUCGAUUAGAAUAAUUAUUUAAUAUUCACAAUUUGCAGUUCUUAAGCUUUUGCACACAUGUUGUGGACGUGACCGGGGAAUUCUCAAGUCACAUUUGGCAGAGUUCCUCAUGUGAUCGAAUAAAAUUGUUGAAUUUGCAAUCACUCAAGUCACGGGGCCCACCUUCGAAUCCUGCGUGUGUGUAACACGGGUGUCCCACUUUCCGCGUGGGCCGUUAAGUAACAGCCUUGAUGUCCUCCUCCAGAGCAUGAGCCCCAUCGCUGAAUACGUAAACGUAUUCGUGGGGGGUGCAUUCAUUUAGUGACUCCAGCAGUCAUCGGCAGCACUGCCUGUGUGAGUCAGUCAUCGGAGGCCUCUGAUUCAGACCCACAAUAACAGUUCAAGGUGACUUAUUGCAUAACUGAGGGUGACACGAGAAUUCCACGCAACGCCAAAUCAUACGCGCACAUUUUUUUUCUGCCCGGAACGCCUUUAAGACAGACGUGCAAUUUAAAGGCUAGUUAACACGCAUCCUGAAAUCCGCAAGAAGAAUCACAGCCUGUGUGAAAUGUAAUUUUAGCGCACGUCGAGCCCAAUUUACGAGCCUCGCUCCUCUGCCGCAAUCUAAGAUACAGUUGUGUUCAAGUUAUCUGAUAUUCAUUCUUAGAUCCUAACUUAAUUUUUGUAAAUGUAUUCAUCAAAAUCCAAAUUAAGAAGGUGCCCAUAAAAUGAUUAAAAUCUGGUUUAUUUAAUAGACGCAUCAGUUGAAAUAAGAACGGGGGGUAUCGUUAAAUCAUUUUGCUCAUUUAGAAGUGAGGGCAUAAACCAGCUCCCAAAAUUUUCAUCUGAUACGUACAAGUCCCACGUCUCUCUCCCACGUGUGAAGGACAACCCCGAACGCGUCCCAACGACCACUACACGUCCUGUAUCCAACAAGCACAUUUCAAUACCCGCUAGAGCCUAUACCACUCAAAGUAUAUAUAUAGCCUACUGUUGCCAGGCAAAUCACCGAUGAAGUAACAAAUGCAUUUGUUCACAAUUCAGUGUCAAAAAUUAUUUAUAUUUAACUGCUAACGAAUUCAGUGAUAAUAAGCACAAUUCAAUUAUCUGAUCCACUAAACAGUAUUGUUUUUCAACGCAAUAUUAUUCAUAACCCAAAUAUUGUUUUGAAUCGCCACUGGUAGGAACGUGAGGGGGGAAAAAAAAAACAAACAAACACUAACAUGCUUCAUUUUUAAAUACAUACUUGCACACUGCAAAAGUGAGUCGAGACUAAUAGCGGGCAUGAUGAAAAAUUGCUUAGAAAGUAGAAAAAGCGCGCUCCGUUUAUGCGGCCUGUUGGUGAGAAACGAGCGCAAACGGAAUUUAAGAGAGAUUAACACGGCAGAUAAAAGCGCGGAAUGCCGCUUCAUGCGCUUCGCACGAGGCCGUCGUGACCCGUUAUGAACAUUUCACUCCAUUCUUCGUUUUAGGGAAGUUUAUCAUAUCUAAUAUUAAAUAAAGACACUUUGUUCCAAACUUUUCCCGAUGAGACACUUUUACAUAGUCAGCCAUGAAAUAGGCUACACCAGCCUUGAACGAAUGAGGAUUGUUUGUGUUAUUUCUCAAAUGACCAGAACAAUUCUUCGUUUUGUGUUGCGGUUUUGGUAAACCACAUAAUAACGUAAUGACAGAUAAUUAUAAGAGCAUCUGAGAAACUUCUGACUGUAUUGUCGAAGUUCAGGGUGUAAUAAUGUCACAUUUUUUUGAAAAAAUGUUUUUCUUCAUGCGUACACAAUUGUGAUUUUAAUAAGAGAAAAAAAAAACAAGCCUUACAUUUUAAGCUGUAACCGUAGUCAGGGAGUUGUAGAAGAGACGUGCUUUGAUUCGCGCCGUUGCGUCGCUCUGCAAUUAACCAUAAAUUAUAACCUUUCUAAAAAUUUAAAGGGGAAAAUUUAAUUCUUAUAGUUGAUUCGCAAACUGGCAGGUGUACAUUUGUGAAAGAAAAUCGAUUCAAUAAUAGUAUUUCAAAUAAACUGAAAAUUGGUGAACGGUGACCAUUUGCAAUGUAUACAACACAAGCUCAUUACAUAAUUUAAAUUGUUGCGUAAGUAUCACGUUCCCUUUUCAUCUGUCGAGAUGAAACUCCUGUAGAAAUUCAAGUUUUAAAGAUAAUAAAACAUCCCUAUUUUCCGUACCAAAAAAUAUUUAGAUUUAGCACUUACAAAUAUAGCAAACAAUCUCAUCUAAAUUAAUAAUGUCCUUUACACAUUUUAAAAAAAAAAAAAUGUGGGAAGAAAGGGGUUUAGACCGUUUUCGCUCGAAUUACAGCCUGGAAAGUUCCGGGGAAAGGCUGUCCAUACUAUCAAGCCUGUCCUGAACUAUUGAUAUAAUCAUUAUUUCGAUAUAAUACUAAAUGUUUUAUAGUUAAAUGCUCGAAUAUUGUAAUCUAUAUAAUUGUCGGUUAGUUUAAACUGUAUUAAAUAUUCUUACAGAUUACAUUCAGGGUGACUGAUUUUAGCAGGGCUCCGUUUUUGAAGGUGCAUGAUUAAAAUGUUGUUGCCUAAAAUAGAGCAAAGAAACAUCCUGAAAAUUAAAUCAGAUUCAUAAAGCAAUUUAUAGAGUUCCAGCAGCAGAGAGGCGCAUGUCUGAUGCCGACUCGUACAUAAGAGCGCAGGUGGACCACGUGAGCCGCUUUCCGCGCGCGCGCUGCCUCGACACGACACGUGUGCGCAACGAGAAAGGAGCUCGAUUUGUCCCCGGGGUCCUUAUGGGGGGUCUGUAACAGCACAUGCGAGCUGCGCACAAGACUGCUCAUCUUUAAGCUCAUUACAGAAGUAGAUUUUUUUUUUUUUUUUUUUUUUAAAUUCAAAGUUGACUUUGAGCGGGAAACGAGCCGUCCUGCAGGCAGCGCUCGCGACAGAGGACGCCGCUGGAGAUCGAGGGGCAGAAACUCACCGCCACGGAGCCGGACACCAAAAGACACUCCAGAUCCAGACUUGCGGGGACACGCGUGGGCCCAGUUCAGUUCUAUGCUGGUGGACAUCAGUACCGGUCACGUCAUGUCAGUGCUUCCUGACAUCUUCGACGGCUUCGCGCGCCCGCGGAGUGCCUCGCGAGGCAUGGCUGGCGGUCGUCUCAAAGAGGUCCGUGGAGACCCUGGACACCAACAUAUGUGUACGGUGAUCCGCUUCAGCCGCGCUGGAAGGAGGAGCGACCUGCAACCGGAAGCGAGGACGAGCACGAGCACACCUGUGCCGGACGUCCCUGGCACGAGCCGGCGCUCCAGCGUGCGGCACCCGUCGCUCCACGGGGGACCGGUUCGUGGAGAGGUGUGACACCGCUCAAGCAGACAAACGUGGAGCUGGUGAACAGCGGCGGCGUCCCCGGGCUCCUCGUGAACGCGCGUCCUGCACGAGGACAGUCGAGUGGCGCGUGCUGGAGAGAUAAUACUCCAGACAGAUCACAUUUUACCUCCUCAGAGCAAGCACGGUAAAGUACUUGGAAAGCAAUGAAGCACAGAAAACGCACACGGAGAAUACUGGUUUAGGGUUACAGGAACCUAAGUAAACGCAAGUGAGACUUUUCCCCCCAUUUGAAAGUCAGUCACGAGAUUUUUAAAAAUAAUUCACCUAGAGUUUGUCUACAGAUACUUCAUCGCAAUUAUCAAUGACUUGCGUUUAAACAUGUCCCUGUAUAACCUGCACUUAUUCAUGUAGUUAAGCAAGAGAGGAGGGGGGGGUCAUUUGUUCAUCAGGGACUUCGAAGCAAUGGUAUAAUCGUAAGGUAGCAGGAACAUAAAACAUUUAAAAAUGAAAAUGAGUCCAUAGUGAAAACACAAAAACAAAUUUAUUAGGACAUAAGACAUGAAGCAGUACAAAUACAGUCUUAAAAGGUAAAUUCUUAGAUAGAAAAACAUACAUUUUAAGAUUAUAUGCAGCUCAGGUUAAAAAAAAAAAAGUAAAAUUAAGCACUGCAGUAUAGACACAAGCAAUAGAUAAUCAAUUAUGAGUCCAGUGAUUAGAAAAAUGAAUGAUGCUCCUGACAACGCACACUAAUUGGUGCGGUUCCUGCACACGGUGAAUAUAAAAAGCGAGCAGCAGAAAUGCAUAUACCUCAAACAGUACAGAGUACCAGAGUAAUUUCACUCCCCUUCGCUGAUGCUUAUGACGCACACAACUCCUCAUCACGGGGUCAGCAGCUCCAUGCUGAGAUGACGACGAUGACGGUAACAGGGCAGCGCACGACAGCCAUGAGGCAGUAAGCCGGUGGACGGGAACGGCCAGGCUUCACUUCAGCAGCACGAUCAAUACUGGAGGAAUCAGAAGUGGUUUAACUCCAAUAUUUACGUGCUGCUAGAGCAAGGCGGCCAAACGUGGAGGGCGACUAGCCUGUACCUGGCCUCACGCUGGUGGUCCUGGUCCUCUUUACAAACUAUUUGACAGUUUUUUUUCCAUCAUCCCCCACCCCCAUUUUAUUUUCCGCCUGCCCAGGCGUAACUGCCGCAGCACAGCACGGCCUGCAUCCCCGUGUAACCCACAAACCAUUCUGUGCUGCUACAGCACCACCAGGCCUGCCCCACAUCCCCCUCCCUUUCCUCUCGAGCAGCGUUCUCUCUCUCUCUCUCCGAGAGACAGACACACACACACACACACACACACACACACACAC